rnacentral:rRNA from 1 species
UACGGAGGAUGCGAGCGUUAUCCGGAUUUAUUGGGUUUAAAGGGUGCGUAGGCGGCUUUUUAAGUCAGCGGUGAAAUUUUGCAGCUUAACUGUAACAGUGCCGUUGAUACUGGGGAGCUAGGAUUUGGUUGCUGUGGGUGGAACGUGUGGUGUAGCGGUGAAAUGCUUAGAGAUCACACAGAAUAUCGAUUGCGAAGGCAGCUCACAAAGCCAAGAUUGACGCUGAGGCACGAAAGUGUGGGGAUCAAACAGGAUUAGAUA